rnacentral:rRNA from 1 species
CCUACGGGUGGCAGCAGUGAGGAAUAUUGGUCAAUGGGCGUAAGCCUGAACCAGCCAAGUCGCGUGAGGGAUGAAGGUUCUAUGGAUUGUAAACCUCUUUUAUAAGGGAAUAAAGUCUGGGCCUUGUCCUAUUUUGUAUGUACCUUAUGAAUAAGGAUCGGCUAACUCCGUGCAAUCAGCCGCGGUAAUACGGAGGAUCCGACCGUUAUCCGGAUUUAUUGGGUUUAAAGGGUGCGUAGGCGGCCUUUUAAGUCAGCGGUGAAAGUCGGGGGCUCAACCAUUGAAUUGCCGUUGAAACUGGGGAGCUUGAGUAUGUUUGAGGCAGGCGGAAUGCGUGGUGUAGCGGUGAAAUGCUUAGAUAUCACGCAGAACCCCGAUUGCGAAGGCAGCCUGCCAAGCCAUGACUGACGCUGAUGCACGAAAGCGUGGGGAUCGAACAGGAUUAGAUACCCGAGUAGUC